rnacentral:rRNA from 1 species
UGGGCAAUCUGCCCUUCACUCUGGGACAAGCCCUGGAAACGGGGUCUAAUACCGGAUAACACUCCUGCCUGCAUGGGCGGGGGUUGAAAGCUCCGGCGGUGAAGGAUGAGCCCGCAGCCUAUCAGCUUGUUGGUGGGGUAAUGGCCUACCAAGGCGACGACGGGUAGCUGGUCUGAGAGGACGACCAGCCACACUGGAACUGAGAUACGGUCCAGACUCCGUACGGGAGCAG